GCUGCGAUGGUCGAGUGAUUAAGGCUUUGGACUCGAAAUCCAAUAGGAUAUUCCCGCGCAGGUACGAAUCCUGUUCGCAGCG
rfam:Ciona savignyi cont_5634, whole genome shotgun sequence.